GAAGUCGUUACCCUAACCGUUUACGGAGGGGGAUGCCGAAGGCAGGGCUAGUGACUGGGGUGAAGUCGUAACAAGGUAGCCGUACCGGAAGGUGUGGCUGGAUCACCUCCUUUUAGGGAGACCAACUUGAACUCUUAGGGAAAAAUUAGUAGCUGAGAGAUUUUCAAGACAUCCCAAGGUCGGCCAGGUAGAAAGGAAGCCUUCAAACUAAAGAUUAGGUCGGAAAUGGGCUAUUAGCUCAGGUGGUUAGAGCGCACCCCUGAUAGGGGUGAGGUCCCUGGUUCAAGUCCAGGAUGGCCCACUAUGAAAGAGAUUAGCUCCAGUUAAGGAAUAAUCAUUUCAGCAAUGGGGGUAUAGCUCAGUUGGUAGAGCGCCUGCUUUGCAAGCAGGAUGUCAGGGGUUCAAGUCCGCUUACCUCCACCAGAAAAAGACCGAUGGAAGCGAAAACUCAGCAUCAUCACCAAGAAAAGUGAGAAUGCUGGAGAAGUAACUCCAGUAAAGUACCUUGAAAACUGCAUAAUAAUAGAUACUCAAAAACAGAGCAGGAAAACUAUUUCCGAGCAAAGUUACCAAGUUUGGUCAAGCUACAAAGGUCUAACGGUGGAUACCUAGGCACACAGAGG
rnacentral:misc_RNA from 1 species